rnacentral:rRNA from 1 species
UACAGAGGGGGCGAGCGUUGUUCGGAAUUACUGGGCGUAAAGCGCACGUAGGCGGCUUUGUAAGUUAGAGGUGAAAGCCCAGGGCUUAACCCUGGAAUUGCCUUUAAGACUGCAUCGCUAGAAUCGUGGAGAGGUGAGUGGAAUUCCGAGUGUAGAGGUGAAAUUCGUAGAUAUUCGGAAGAACACCAGUGGCGAAGGCGACUUACUGGACACAUAUUGACGCUGAGGUGCGAAAGCGUGGGGAGCAAACAGG